AACCUCCGCAAUGUGAGAAAUCGCGACGGGGGGAUUCCAAGUGCCAUUCUUAACGGGAUGGCUUUUCUUAAGUGUAAAAAGCUUUUGGAAUAAGAGCUGGGCAAGACCGGUGCCAGCCGCCGCGGUAACACCGGCAGCUCUAGUGGUAGCUGUUUUUAUUGGGCCUAAAGCGUUCGUAGCCGGUUUGAUAAGUCACUGGUGAAAUCCUGUAGCUUAACUGUGGGAAUUGCUGGUGAUACUGUUGAACUUGAGGUCGGGAGAGGUUAGCGGUACUCCCAGGGUAGAGGUGAAAUUCUGUAAUCCUGGGAGGACCACCUGUGGCGAAGGCGGCUAACUGGAACGAACCUGACGGUGAGGGACGAAAGCUAGGGGCGCGAACCGGAUUAGAUACCCGGGUAGUCCUGGCCGUAAACGAUGUGGACUUGGUGUUGGAAUGGCUUUGAGUUGUUCCGGUGCCGAAGGGAAGCUGUUAAGUCCACCGCCUGGGAAGUACGGUCGCAAGACUGAAACUUAAAGGAAUU
rnacentral:rRNA from 1 species